rnacentral:lncRNA from 1 species
CAUUGCAUUGGUACCAUAGAGGUAUAUAUUAACAUAGAGUGAGCCCUCACUCCGCCACCACUGACGACAAGAUCUCUUCGACUGGUUUGCGGUAUCUCUUUCUAGCACAAUGUAUCGAGAAACAUAACAUGAAACUAAGUGGGGGUACGGGACGGCAAGUGAAAUAAGGAGAAUUACUUUAUUCUUCUUUUUUCUUUAAUUAUUAUGACAAGUGACAAGACAACAUAACCCAAAUAAUUUAAUCCGGCCCUAUUUCUAUUUUUGAACAAAAUGUUGGAAAUAUCUUAGUUUAUUUUUAGUUCUAGCUUAUUUAUGGCUAGAUUGAAAAUCUGAAUUUUCUAAUAUUGGUUCAUGAUUAUCAUCAGGGACUUGAUUCGGUUCUUAAACAGAAUCAAUGGCUCUCUAAAAAUAUGAUACUCCAUUGGUCACCCCAAGAGGAAUACGACAAAAUUGGUAAAGGCAUCCACUUUCCUCAAAAGCUGUACAUGGUUUGUCAGAUUCAUGAAUUGGCUAUUCUCAUUUAAAAAAAUAUUUGAUUACGUCAUCACGCCCAGAUGGAUGACGUCACUAGUAUGUUGUAUACAGUAGAACCCCGAAAAUCCGAACUAAUUGGGGGGACAGCCUGUUCGGAUUCUGAAAAGUUCGGAUUAUUCGAAAGUCAGCCUAACCAGUAAUUCAAAGCUCUCCUGCAAAACGUGUAACCUGGCUAUGAGAAAACCGAAGUAAAUUUAUGUUUAACCUUUAUAAGCACUACAUAUAAAGUACCUACGUAUUUAUUUUUAAGAAAUUUUAAAUGUCAAAGUCCUACGAAUCCAAUAUUGUUCAAUUUUCUGGUUAUACUUUGUAUAAUAAACAUGUAUUUAAGUUUUUGUCUUGAAUUUAAAAAAAAAUCACUUUCCGUUAGUUUGGAUUUGCAGGGUUCUACUGUAUGUCAAAAAUAUAUAUGAGGGGGGCAAAAUAUAUUGAAUAACCCUGUACAUCAAGAAAUUUACUACCAACGUCUCUGUUACUGAAUAUAUCACUAAGUACAGGGCAACCUAUUUAAAACUUAAAAAAUCAGCUAAAAAAUUAAACUAUCAAAAUCAUCUGAGAAGCUUUAAAAGUGUUGCAAAAGAAAUUUGGUCCAUAAUAAACAAUCUUCUUCGAAAUCAAACUCACAAAGCUCAAACAUUUUCCCUUCCAGACCAUGAAUACUUUAUUAAUGUGAGUAAAAUUAUAACAUCAACUAUUUUGUCACAAGAGAUCAAUUUUGUUAAGAUCCGAUUUCCUAUCUCCCUAAUUCAAGAAAGGUCUCAAAUUCAUUAUUUAUAAGACUAGUUGAUUAAUCUGAACUGAUCCAAACAAUCAAUAGUAUCAAAAGCAAAUCUUCCUGUAGUACUGAUGGACUAUCCAUAAAAAUUGUCUCAAAUCUCCCAGAAAAUGUGUUGGGAGUCCGCAUCCCACUAAUGACUCUUUUAAGGGGCUAUCCUAGUGUAAAAGAACGAAAUUCACAUACUUUUUUUGGGAAUAUCUAAAAUAAAAAGUACUGUACCAAUUGUUUUGAAAAUUUGCAUGACUAUUUAUUAUAAAAAGAAGUACAAGUAAAACAAUUUUCAUAAAAAAAAAUAAUGAAAAUUUAACGAUUUAUGCCCUAUCUACUGGCACAGUGAAAAUAAAAAACAUGGCUCCACUGCUGCAGCGAUUGGGACUAAUAGAGAUCCUGAAUUAUAAAAUUGCAAAUACAUAUUGAUUAUUGAAAUAUUAGUUAUUUCCUAUACCAUCAAUUAGGAUUUUUGGAAAAAUGACGAAGUGUUGAAAUUUUUUUAAAUUAGCUAGAACAUUUUCAGUUUCAAAAACCGCCAAAUUGACAUUUUUUAUCCGAUUAAAAAAAUCCCUAUUUGAUGGUAUAGAAAAUAACCUAUAUUUCAAUAAUAACUUUUGAUAUUUUAUGUUUCAGGAUCUCUUUUAGUCCCAAUCACUGCAGCAGUGGAGCUAUGUUUUUAUUUUCACGGUGCUAGUAGAUGGCGAAUAAAUCGUUUAAUUUUCAAUAUUUUUUUAUGAAAAUUGUUUCACAUGUACUUUUUAUAACAAAUGUUCAGUAGUAAUAACCAGAGGACAUUGAUAAUUGUUCGAAAAAUUUUUAUAACAGAUUUCGAAAGCUUGUUCCUUGGAAACAGACCGACGCCGUAGGCGGAGGUCUGUUGCCUGUAAGCAACAAGCUUGAGAAAGUUGUUAAAAAAUUUUUGAGCAUUUAUCAAUGUUCGAGGGUUAUUCGGAUAGAAAAUUUUUUGCUGAUAUAAAAUUAAUAAUAAUUUCAUUAAUAUUCUCAUCACUAUUACAACCAAAUCGUGACAUUUUGAAAUAUUGAAUAUUUGAAAUGUCAAAAUUGAAAUGAAACGAAAUGUAGGUAUCCAUAGCUACAUGAUUGAGUGAAAACAGCCCAUGGGAUCUGUUUUCAGUAUAAUGUUGGUUUUAUUGGUUGUAUUCAAUCAGAUGACCACAAAUUAAUUGAUUUCAUUGGAUUUCUAAUUGAGCAAAAAAUUUUCAAAAUAAUUGGUACAGUACUUUUUAUUUUAGAAAUUCCCAAAAAAGUAUAUGAAUUUCAUACUUUUACACUAGGAUAGCCCCUUAAGAAAGGUAAAUUUCUAGAGCUGCCUAAAGACAGCCAUCAUUAUUCCUCUUCAUAAGGGUGGUGAAAAAUCUAAUGCCUGCAAUUAUAGACCUAUUGCAUUACUACUGGUACUCUCAAAUAGGACUCAUAUUACACAAGUAUAAAAACUUGUUGCUGGUAUGAGCACAUUGUGUAAAUGUUAGGAUUUAAAGAGGAUAUAAAAACCUUCAAUACAAUUAUGAGCGUUAGUCUCUUUAUAUCCUAACAUUUUUUUUGUUAUUGUUUUAGUUUAUUAUUGUUUUUUAUGACUCUGUAAGUUUUGUGUAUAAAUUGUACAAUUUUCCAUGACAAUAAAGCAUUUUUCUAUUCUAA